rnacentral:rRNA from 1 species
GAGUUUGAUCCUGGCUCAGGAUGAACGCUGGCGGCGUGCUUAACACAUGCAAGUCGAACGGGCGAAUUAUAUCGGAGGUCUUCGGGCCGAAGAGAUAAUAAGCUAGUGGCGGACGGGUGCGUAACGUGUGGGUAAUCUGCCUUUGUCAUAGGAAUAACUGCUUGAAAAAGUAGCUAAUACCAAAUAACAUAUCGUAUAGGCAUCUAUAAGAUAUCAAAGAGAAAUCGGACAAAGAUGAGCCCGCAUCUGAUUAGCUGGUUGGUAGGGUAAAAGCCUACCAAGGCGACGAUCAGUAGCCGGCCUGAGAGGGUGAACGGCCACAUUGGAACUGAGACACGGUCCAAACUCCUACGGGAGGCAGCAGUGGGGAAUAUUGCACAAUGGGGGGAACCCUGAUGCAGCAACGCCGCGUGAGUGAAGAAGGCUUUCGAGUCGUAAAACUCUGUUGUAAGGGAAGAUAAUGACGUACCUAAAAG